AAAACUGAAAUUCCAGCGAGCCUAUGGACAUGCGUACGGGUAACCAGACACGGCGAUAAUUCACAAGCGGUGAGUACACGACUUACCAUAUAAUACACUGUCGUAAUUAGAAAUGAUUACAAUAUUAUAUCAGUGUCACAACUUUUUCAUUACAACGCUUUUCGUAUGUUUUAACGGUUCGAGUGUACCAGUGAAUAUCAAACGUACGUUAUAGACCAAUGCAGUUGAUCGCGAGCCGUUGAAUUUGCGGAAUUUUAUUCUAUUAUUGUUAUGAUAGUAUAAUUUUAUUUUAUUUUUUUUUUUUUUUUAUCGAUAACCGUAAAAGCGCCGACUUUUCAAAAAAAAAAAACCCUACCAUCCGCCGCAGUCAGAUAAUAAUCAUAACGAUUAUGUAGCGCGAAAGCCGUGGUGCAUUAUCGAAUAAUACAACAAAUAAUAUAUUGUUAUCGUCGUCUGCAAGUUGCAUUUUAUUAUUAUGAUUCAUUAUUUUGUAUUUUUGCCAGAGAAGAGAGUGACGGGGAGGCGGAGGAGGGGAGAGGUAAAAUAAUAGAAAUAAGAUUAGGCGAAUCGUUAAUUAUUUAAAAAUAUAAUAUUAUCGUUUGCACGUGUGCGGAUUGAAACAAACAAUUAAUAUUUACAGCGGUAAUGUUAAGUGCGUUAAUUGAUAUUUCAUAACACUCGUAUAAUACUAUAAAAAUAUAAUAAUGGACAUUUGUGAAUAUUUUUUCGUUUUUUUUUUUUUUUUUUUUCACCAAUCGCGUAUAUCGCGUAGAUUUUUAUUUCAUUCUAUUUUUUUCCAUAUAAAAAAAAAUGACAACAUAACAACGAAAUUAAACUAUCGUUUCCAAUGUAAACACGGAUAGGUAUCGUUUUCAUUACAUGUUUUUUUCCCCCUUGAUAUUUUAUACUCGUAUACGCGGCCCGGCCUAUUGAGAUUUGUCCGACGGCUGUAUUACACGAUUUUUGAAAAUAAUUAGUAGUAGUUUUUAAUUUCUUUAUACUAAAUACUAUAAUCAAUACUAAUUAUACUUGAUAUCCGUGAACGAUACUACAAUAGAAAAAUCCCGAUCUGAUAAGCUGUAGUAUAGAAGUUGUUAUGGAGUUUUUGACUAUCGAAGAAAUAAGAAAUAGGUGGUGGCCGGUGAGGAAUGAGAACCCGGUGAUUUAACCGAACUUUUUUGUUGACAUUUUUGUAGAAAAAAUCUACGUGCAGCUAUCGAAAAUAUUCUCCUCUUUAAAUUUUGUUAUUUGUAUUUAAACUCCAAUUUCAACCUAAACUUCACAAUUUAUGUUUACCCAAUAAUGUAAUUUGAUUGUGUAUCCUGUUAGUUGGACUGAAACGGUAAGUUGGAAUUUCGCAUAUUCGAAAAUUAACGUUUAACAGACAAACGUUGUAAUUUUAAGUUAGUUUUUUCUUUGCCUCAUCCCUACCCCCUCUCAUUUAGAAAUAUUGCCUGCACCCCUAUAAUUUAUAAUACAGUGAACAAUUUAGACUGGUGGCGUAGGGAAGGGGGUGUCAAUUUCCAAUCCGGUUUUAGAUGAUAACCAUUCCCACCUAAGUGUUUUAUUAUACUCAUCAUAAACGGUAUCAACCAGUGGCGUAACUAUAACUUCUAAUGUACAAGUGGAAAAAUAUUCUAGAUUAACCAAUUCGAGAGUCAAGUGCACAAUCAAUUAGAGUUGGGACUCGAUUGAUUGAAUGAAAAGAUCAUUGCCUAUUUCCGAACGGCCUUCCGUCCACUCGUGUUACUUAAUAAGCGAAAAAAGCACAUCGCAUUUUUUUUUUUUUUUAUUGUAUUCACCUAUAACGCAUCGGGCUUUGAUACGGGACCCCGAGACGGCAUAGACCCGUGGCUCAUUUCCCGUCUUGCCACCCUAUCGAUACGCCACUGGUAUCAACUCGAUAACAGUGUUAUCAUGCACGUCAACAUUUGCAUAUUUCAGGUGUGUAUAUUUAUACUUGUAUACUAUAGGCCAUGAUACGAUUUUUAUAUAGAUUUUUAAAUCGUCCGUAGAAAAAAAAUUAACGUAUAAUGACUAUCGCCCAUCAUUUAAAAAAAAAAAAAAAACUAUUACGCAUCAAGUGUAUUGAAACGCCCGAGUGUUUUAUUACAACGCGAUCGCACAAUGUUUAUCCGUUCGUUUAUUUGUGUAUAGUAUAUAUUAUUAUAUUCGCAAUUAUAUGUACCCAUACGUAUUAUUAUUAUGACUCUGUUAUCAUUUAGUUGAAUGCAUCGUAUCCCGGGUGCAAUCGUUUUACGCCGUGCACUUCUAUAUACAGAGUGUAUCCACGAUAUUCGACAAUUUUCUAUACGUAAUACUAUUACGUAUAUUAUAUAGCUAGGCACGUGAUUGCACUGGUAAUCGUUCAGUCCCACGCAGAUACGCCCCGUAUAUUGUAUCGUUAUAGCAACAUAAUAUUAAGCUUUGCGCAGCCAUUAUACGACGCGGUGACGUGAUUGCAUAUUUUGACUUAUCCCCGACUUAAAUACUUAAAUAUGUUUUUUUUUUUUUUUUUUUUUUUGUGCUUUCAAAUAUGUAUGAUCGAUCNUGCGCAGCCAUUAUACGACGCGGUGACGUGAUUGCAUAUUUUGACUUAUCCCCGACUUAAAUACUUAAAUAUGUUUUUUUUUUUUUUUUUUUUUUUUUAAAAACACAACAACUACAACAACCAGACGGGUUCUUUCCUGUUACGUAUGACAUUAUUAUUAUUAUUUUUAUCUCCGCCGCUGCCGCCUUUCGCUGUGGGUUUUGUAAUAUACCGUUCCGCGUUUACCCCGGCGGCGCACAACGGACCGAAUCGUAAAUUCAAUCGCCAAAACCGUAUUUUAAAAAAAUGCGAUAAGUGUUGUUUUUUUUUUUUUUUUUUUGUGCUUUCAAAUAUGUAUGAUCGAUCGUUAAAUCAAUCACCACUAUUCGGUAUUACGGGAACUAUUACUUUCAUAUCUUAUCAAUCCAACAUAACUACGAUAAAUUCAACGAGAUGUCGAUAAAUAACGAUAUAAAUAUGUAUGCACGAAUAAGUAUGUAGCACGUAUUAUUCUGUUUUUCGCGGUCAGUUCUUCGUACAUGUCCAAAUAUUAUUGGUUUUUUUUUUUUUUGUUUUCAUAACUUGAGUUAUAGACACUGGUGAAGAUUGCAUAGUGUAUGGUAUAUUGCAUGCCUACAUAAAUAAUGCGAUUUUCGUGUCGUUCGUAUAACGUUCAUUAUAUAUGCAGUUUACAUUCUCUUAAUAUUAUUGUUUUAUAUUCGGAGCGUAGCGAGGGUUCUGUUGCAGGUUUUGCUAUGAUGUAUUUUUCGAUUUUUCAAUGGGAUUUUCAAAAUAAUUGGGACAAACCAAAAAUAAAAUUACUGUAGGUAAAACGGCAAAUGUUUACGACGCGCCGCGGCGUUACCGAUUUCAUUGCUUUUGAUUUUUGCAUUAAUCCUAAUUUUUUAUACUAUGGCUCCAAUCGAAAAAUGACAAGACACAGAUUUUAUGCAUUUUAAUCCUUUUGAUACAGUAGUUCCCAACUUCUUUUAUUCCGCACCCCUUAUUUGUCAUCAAGCUCGAUAAGCGAACAAAUCUUAUUAAAUAUUAAAACCAGCCGGGCAACUACCUCCUAUCGCCUUUACAUAAUUACGGCCUUGCUCAUAAUCUUUAUCGAUACCCAAUCACCAGUCGUUAUUAAUUUUUUUAUCUUUUCCCUGCAUUUUAAAAUACAAAUUUUACUUCGUGAUUACUGCUUGCGCCUCCCCAAGUUUACUUCCCAUCCUCCAGUGGAAUAUUCUAUCUUCCCAACGUCCAACCUACAACAGUGGCUGCACUCGUUCUCAGAACGAGUUUUUUUUUUUUAUUUGUUAUUUUCAGAACCUAAAAUGAUAUUACUAAAACAUUAUAUAUUAUUACAAUUUUAAAAUUAUUCUGCGGUAUGAUAUUGUACUUACAACGCGUAUACUAUGCCUUAUUUGCGCACACUUACAUACUACAUGUAUAAAUGUCUUAAUAUAACAAAAAAAGUGUCUUCAAUAAUUAUAUGUGACUUCUAUUAAUUUUAUUUGUAGACUUGUAGUGGUAGUUUCAUAAUAAUAACUAAACUUAUUUAAUAAUUACUAUGAAACUUACAACGAUUAAUUUUAUUUAUGACAAUGAAAUAUAUCUUUAUAAAUCUACAAAUGUUCAUUCCGUACAGUUUUUCAGAGAAUUUUCCUUCGAAAAACUACAUGAAGAGUAAUAAGAGUAAAAUAAAUUGAAUGCAUAAAAAAAAAAUCACACGAUUUGUUAAAUGAAGCAAUAUCAUUGUUAAAUACAAUAAUGGACGAGACAAAUGAAGAUAGUAGUGAUAAAAAUAAUACAAUGAUGAUUAAGGUUUUUUAUUUUCAUUUUAUUUCGAUAGUAUAAAAUUUAAUAGUUUUACGUUUAAUGUUAAUGUAAAUAUAUUAAUAUUUUAAUAUUAAUAAAUAUUAAUCUAUUUAUGAUUACGUGUAAAAUUUAAUUUUAAAAAGACGAACAUACUUCGCACGAUGGUUGGGCCACUGAAAAGUUGGAAAGGUAGAAUAUAGAAGAGAACUUAAUAUAUAUCUGUACGCAAUGAUUAAUAGUUGUUUUACAAAAAACGAUUCUGAACGAAGUUCUGUUAUAAAAAGCCUGUAUGUAAGUCUGUUUUGAAAAGCCGUAAUAAAUAUUUAUGAUUUUCGUCAAAAUUUAUUAUUACAAUUCUAAUCAAAAUAAAAUUUUGCAUUACACUCAUUUUUUUUUCCGACUACAAAGUACGACUAAUAAUGAAUCUCCGGUUAAAUUUUCAAAUAUUUUUGUUUGGUCUAACAAUUUCAUCCAAAGAGUACCUAAACCAAAUAAAAAUUACGUAAAAAAUUCACAGAAUUAAAAUAUCAAUACAUUUUUUAAAAAUUUUACUACGUUUAAAAAAAGACAAAUAUAAAUUUUCUGUCCAAAUUUCAAGUCUCCAAGAAUAUUUUUAACUAAUCACAACAAAACAAAGAAAAAAAUUUUAAAUAAUACAUUUCGUACAUUUUUCCGUUUUCUGGUUUUUACCAAUUAUUAUAAAAACCCAUUAGACAAUACAAAUUUACCUUCUUAAAAAACCGCUCAGAUAAAAUUUCCCUCUAGAAAAAGUGCUAAACUUGAAAAUCGGAGCAAGAUAUCUGGUCUCCUUAAUUAGAUGAUGAUUUCAAACCUGAUAAAAAUGUUGAUAAAGUAGCUUCAAUAUAAUUCAUAUCUUCGGAGUUUGUUUAUACUUCAUAACUAAGAAAUAUUAAUUAAAUGUAAGUUAAUUUAAAAUUCAGACCACUGUCCGACGGCGUUAACACUACGGACAGUAACGUAGCUACACAUUCAAGCGCCUCGAGGUAAAAUCUUUUUUUUGUCCCUAUAAUUGAUAAUAGAAAUAAUACUGUUUAUCACCGAAAGUGCGACUGUAUUUAUGACUGGCCAAUUAAGAUUAAUUUUUGGAAAAUACGAACCAGACCACACUUUACCACUUAAAUUUCGUUUUAAUUUUAAAUUUAAGUAAAUUUGCAUCUACACCAUAUGCAUAGGUAUAUAUUUGUAAUUUUUAUGUAUAUGGCUGCAAAAUGAACCUAAUAUAAAACUCUAAAUAUUUUAUACCUUUAAUCUAGUUGCUCACAUUUGUGUUUUAUCAUCCCAUUAUCUUUUCGUAAAAAUAAACAAUAAUAAUAAUAAUAAUAAUAAUAUCUUAACACAUGUUUAUGAAAAUAUGAAAUAAUUUGUACAGUAAUUGUUUAGUAUAAUAGCUAUUGAUUAAAUACACGUAGUGUAUUUCAUAUUUAUAAUAUACAAUCACUAUAAAACAGUGGAGCUGGUAAAACACGAAUCGCAGUAAAUUAAAUUGGGACGAACACCUGACUAUUAGGCUUGCGUCACGUGCACGUUUAAAUCGAUUCAAUUUUAACCACAACAUUUUUCUAUUAAAUACCGACAAUCACCAACGCGCAUGAUGCAAGUCCCGAAAAAGUUAUAUGUCCCGAGGCGCUUGCGGUAUACACCUUGACUAUACACGGAUAGGAAAUUAAAAAAAAAAAAACAUUUCAUUUUUUUUUUUUUUUUUUUUUUUUUAUCAGAAUGCCGUACAAGUAAAAGCCGAUAAACGCUCACGCGACAAGUAUAUUAUAGUAAAUGAUAUAUUAUUAUUAUGUAUUCAGACAUAAUAUUAUUAUUGGUGAGGAAUGUUACACUAUAUAAUAAUAUGUAUAUAAUAUUAUACUCGUUGCGUGUGAAAAAUUGUGAAGGAAAAAGUGUGCGCCUACUGCUUAACUCGAUUUAUACGGACAGGGCUUCGGCACAUCGUCGUAUAAUACGGUAUUAUGGCUUCUGGCCAGUGGGCUAUCGACCACGACGGCGACCCUUUGUUUUUUCCGUCCCGAUCUCAGUUUCCACACAUUUUCAUUUAGAUUACGAAAAACGAGUAGGUUUAUUUUCAUAUCGCGUGUAUUAUAAUAAAAAUAUACCCGCAGCUGAAUAAUUCCCCGGCGCGUAUUUCUCGUCUGUAAAAAAAAAAAAAAUGAUACAUCUUGUAUAAUACGAGAGUGUAGUGUAUAUAUUUAUAACAUCGAAAGUCUGUUUUUUUCAACGAAUUGUUCCCGUUUUCAACCGUUUUCACCCGUAUCACCCCUAUCACAGUUCAUCGUUAUUAUCCGGUAUUGUAUGUUUUAUAAAGGGCAUUUCCUGUGUCUGCGACAAUCAAAUGAAAUAACUAUUUUUUUUUUUUUUUAUUUCGUCUGUGUCACCAAGAUAAUCCGCAAAUCAACCAACAAAUGUCAACUUUAUCGUAUUAAAAUAUCAGAAAUCAAACAUGAGCCGCCCGUAGGGAAUUUUAAUUUCGAGGUAAAAGUCAGCGAUCAUAUUCCUUUUGUUUUUGAAUGUCAAGCGUCCAAAGUUUCAUCAAGAUCGGAAUAAAUCUGCAAAUUUGUGUCAGACAGACUGACAUACCGAAAGACGAACGCAUAUUUAAAAUGUUAGACAUAAUAUAUUAUAUUAUAUUCAACUUGUGUACAAAUAAAAAAUGGCAGACAAUAAUUUUAUCAAACAUGACUAUCAUCUAUACGCUUCGGUAGAUACUCGUAUCAUUUAUGAUUUACUACAUUAUGUUAACAGGAAUGUAGGGUACCGACUCUAAUAUUUCCACUUGAUACAGAUAAUUUAAAAAAUAGUCAUUGGUUAAAAUCGUUUAGUACAAUUUUGAUGUAUGAAUUAAUAUAUCAUUAGUAUAAAUGCCUACUAUAUACCAUAUAUUCAGCAAAAUACUUUCACUUUGGUUUUGUAAUACAUAAAUCGAAAAAUAAAAUAUUAAAAUAAUUUUGGCGAUUUAGUAACCGUCUACUAACCAUAAUAUCUAAUCGUAAACUUAUAACCACUAAACUGUUUAGAACGCCAAAACGCGCCUGAUAAUAUUAUUUCAUUAUUGUUUAACAUUACUGAUAUUAUGGUUUUGAAAAACCAGUGAAAAUUGAUGUCACAGAAUUAAAAUUAUAAUUAUAAUUCUGUGACACCGUAAUAUUAACUAUACCAAUUGUUAUGAGUAAUUAAAUAGAUAAGUAAUAGUCUACGGCAAUACUGGUAUAAUACCUACAGAAAUUAAAUAAAACUUUGUUUUUACUUUUAAGUUAUGUUUGUAUUUUAAAUCGGACUCGAAAGAACGGAAAUGCAAAUUCGGUUCAAAUUUUCACAAAGAAAAAAUUUAUCAUUGCUGUCCACAAAUCAUAUCAAUGGUGUUUUUUUUAAAAGGACAUACACUACUAAAAAUCUAAAAAUACGUUUAAAGUACCAAAAAAGCCGGAAAAAUUAGGAGCAUAAACUGGCUAAAGAGCGUAUUUUAAUAUAGAAAAUUAAGUUAGUACUGUGGACUAAAAUAUAUCUAGGCGCCCUUUUAAAAUAUAAUUAAAUCAACAGUGAUUUAUUAAAAGAACGUAUAUCACAUUCAGUGCAUAUUUUGUACUUUGUCUACAGGUAUCAUGUGUACGGGUAAUUUUCAUGAUAAACAUUGUUAAAAACUGUUUUGCUAGCUGAAAAAAAAGUAAAAUUUGAUGGACGCCUUUUUAAUAAAACUGGCGGGAAAAAGAGCACAGAUAGGGAAGGGGAGCCUUUGCUAUACAUAUGCGUACGGUGUGACUACGGAUAGUUACACCGUCUAAAUUUUUGCACCCCCCCCCUCCCCCCGAAUAUAAAAAACAGUUCCUGCGCCUUUGGUCGCGCAUUCGACAGACGUCACGGCGCUCGUUUCGGACGAGUACAAAACGAUGCACAGUGCGAAGGCACGUUUAAGCUGUCGUGGUUAAAAAGGCCAAUGAAGAAGGAAUCGGUAUACGAAAUAUAAUAUACGUAUAUUGUUCCAUAGAUAAUAAUAACACGAUAAUAUCAUCAUAUUAUCGUUUGUGCGCGUGUAUAAUGUAUACAGAGACGGAAAUACAGACAACAAAAAGUGAUCAUAUAAUAUCAAAUAAAAUAUGUGUGAAGAAUACGCGACUGGUGUAAUAUUUUAAUGAUAAUUUAUUUAUAAUAAUAAUAUUAUAAAAUACGAGUACAUAAUAUCGAAAACGGACGCCGACAAAUACGCGUCGUUGUUCACCGUACGUAUUAUGUUAAAUAUAUGGUAUUGAGUGAAAUGUGCCUAUACGCACAUAAAUUAUAAUGUUUGUGUGUGUGCGUGUGUGUGUAAGCGCUUAUAACACUGUGGAAAAAAAAAACUGUUUGAAAUAAAAAAAAUUGUACAUUGUAGCGCAGAUACGAAUAAAAAAAAAAUAAAAUAUGUCGUGGGCACACGAGAAUCGCGUUGUAUAAUACGAAAAAAAAAAAAAUAAAAAAAAUAUAUUAUAUUAAAUACGAGUAUAUACGAUACAUAUUGUUACAAUAUUAUACAGUGUACCGAAAAUGUUUACAUCCUUCGCCGAGUGUUACCGUACUAUAUUAUACGAUGUAUACCUAACAUGCGUCUCAAAAGGGUGCCGCGCGUUGAGUGUGUUGAUAUUGUAAUAUUAUUAUUUUCGUACGUAACCGAUGUCGUUUAUUACAAUCUUGCGGUCCGCUUAUGAUAUUGUACAAUGUACAAUGCGUAUUGUACGAUCAUAUUUUAAUAUGACGGCGGGAGAAAACAAAAAAAAAUCAAUAAAUUAAUUUACAGGUUAUCGAUAGGAACAACGACUGCGGCGGCGGCAACAGUUACAAGUGAGUUUCCUCUCCCCCCUCACCAACCACCAACGAAAAUCGUUUAUUAUUAAUUUUUUUUUCUCGAAUACCGAAAAAAGACGAUUUAAACCGCGCGACGCGCCGCGUGCUCGCAACAGCGAAAUCCAAAUUUUUACGCGGUUUUCUGUUUUAAAUUCCGAACGCUACGAGUAUGUAUUAUACGUGUAUAUAUUGGGUUUAUUGGGAUGCGUGCGAUUUUAGAACAUUUUUUUCGUCUGUAAAUCGCUUUUCUACGGGAAAUUUUGCUCCAAAUUAAAAAAAAAAAAAACGACAAGAGAGUUUUAUUGUGUAGCAUUAUGGGAUCUAUUGGAUAUGGCAAUAAAAUUCUCAUAAUGUUUUCAUAGUUUUGUUUUUUUUUUUGUAUUCAGUUAAAAAUAUAUAAAGGAAUUCUAUUAUCAAAUUUUGACGAAAACCGUUUUGAAUAAAAAAAUUACAUGGAACAAAUCUAAUUUAAUUUUAAAUAUUUUACUUAGAACAUAUUAUGUAUAUUGCUGAUUUAAGAACAUUGGUGAAAUCAGAAUUGAGCGGAUUGACUAAGUUUUAAAAAUUAUAGCUUUUUGAAGUUCUGAUAUUAUACAGGUAUUAUAUAUGUUAUGUUAAAUAACUCGAUAUUAUCAUCUUUAAUGUAUAUCGAUCGUAGUGCUAUGGUGAUAUAUUGUUAUCCUAAAGAUCACGGGUUUAAACCCGAGUUUUUGAAAAAAAAAAAAUGUUAUUUUUCCCUUUUACCUUAACUUUGAAAAAACAUGCAUUUUAGAUGUACCUAGGGUAUCGCUCGCUCGGACUAUUUUAAUCGAAAAAUAUCCCUUGAUUUGUUUUGUAAACUUUUAUACCAGAAAUCUUGCUCCGAUGUAUCAAGUGUAGCACUUUUUCUGAAAGGUAAUUUUAUCUCCAUAGUAAUUUAGAGUAGUCGUUUUUCAAUCUUGAUUUUGAUAUAAAAUAUCGGAAAAACGGAAAAUGUACGAAAUGUAGGUAUUAGUUAAAAAUUAUAACGGCCUUUUUUUUUCAUGUGAACGACUUUUCUACCAGCAAUUUCGCUCCGAUUUAUGAAUAUAUUAGAAAAACCAAAAGCAAACGGAGAAAAACUGGAAAACAGGAGAAUAGUUACAAUAUUAAACAAAUAUUGUUAAAGAAAAUGUGUAAUGCAUAUGUAAUUAUUAUACCGUGCGAAGUAUGUCCGUAUUUUUAAUUACACUACGUAAUUAGUAUUAAGUUAUCAUUAGUAUGUUAAUUAAUUCGUUAUUAUCAAUUGUAAUUUAGUUAUGAGAGUUAUUACCAAAUUAUACGUUUAAUGAUCACAUUUUUAAUUAAGUGAUAACAGAUAAGCUUCAAAUCAUGUUAACUUGCUUAAUCUAUUAUUAGUGAGCCUUAAAAGCUUAUUAGUCAGCAUGUCAAUAAAUUAAUAUAUCCUAUUGGACGUUGACAAAAUAAUCGAUGGAUUAGGAUAAACACCAAAAAACUUAAAAUUUCGUUCUAAAUUAUCAAUUAUUGAAGUUGUUUUAAAAUAUAUUAUAUGUGCGUUUUCUUGCUAUUCUUGUUAUCCAUAUCACUUAUCCAAUAAAAAUCCUAGUUACUGAUCCCAUAAACGGACAUCAGCUAGUGGAUUGGUGAUAAAAUUGAAAAUAUUUAAAAAACUAGCUCCAACAAGCCUUAAUAUUCGGUAUUAAAGACAAUUACGAGAUCGUUUGAAAAUCAAAAUUAUUUUUUUUCAACUGCAAAAAUAUAAAAUUUUAUAAAAGAUUUAAUAUAAAAAAGAUUUUAUAAUAUAGAAUGAUACAGUAUGUAAAGGGCUUGGUAAUAAGCGAUCGGGACUAGCAACGGUACGCGUAACUACCUAUAUUUUUUCCAGUUCUUAAUUACGGAUCGAAAAAACCCGUUUUCCGAAAUUAUACGGUCCAUGGCUAUACUUUUUUUUUCCCCGAAAACAUACAAUCCGGGUUUAUAAGGUUUCCGGUAAAACACAGUCCGAUUGUUUACAAUCCGGGAACCAACAAUCCGUAUAAAUACGUUUUGCAUAUUUUUCGAUUCCAGGUUUUUACGGUCCGUGACCAUACGGUUCACGAAUUUCCUUUUUCGCAAUUCUACAUUCCGUAAAAAUACACUUUUAUUCCGGAAUUAUACAAUCCGAACAAAUACAUUCCGAGAUUUUACAGCUUCCCUAUUAUUAAAACGCCGCGCGCCGUGCUGCCACACAAAUGAUGCUCCACUGCACUCAACCGACCCAAUCUCAAAAGUGGAUCAACGCAUUGACGGAUAACAAAAGUAUCGACACCAAUAUUUAUUACAACUAAUACUCCGUCCAUGUAUGGAAUUAUCAGUAUAGAUUUGCAUUUGGAAAUCAAAAGUGAGUAGUGGUUUUACCUCCAAAAAUAAGAGUGAUAAAAAAUAACGUAAAUGUAAAAUUGUACAGCUGCUUGUUGCUUAAAUUUUCUAUAAAACAGAUUCCGAAAAAAGCUAUUAUUUUUCGAGAUAAUGAGUGUGUAACGGUAAAAGGAUCACCCGGUAUAUACUGGUGUAUAAUAAAUAUAUGUAUAAGAGAUAUAUUUUUAUUUUUGGGUUAGGUCUUUUUGUAGUAAUCUAAACUCGUGCUAAAUUUGCAUGUGCAACCCGUAUGUCAAAUCGUGCAUCUUUUUGUGACAAGGUCAUUAACAUGAUAGUAGAUACCUGUUUGAUUUAUAAGAUUCAUAAUUAAAGGCUAAACAUACCAGGUCUUAUUUUGAGACGAGAAUUUUUUCUUUUCACAAAGUUCUAUUCGUUUUGUUCGGUGAAAUAAAUAUCCACUUUACCGAUUAUUGUAUUGUCUAAUAAAAACAUUUUUAUUGGGCCAUUUUUUUCAUAUCGAGAAUUAAAGUUAUAUGUAUAUACAUAUAUUUCUUUUUACCAUAGUCAAUUAGAUAUGAGACAUUUUUUUUGUAUGUCUUUAACGUUUCACUAACUGAUAAAGAGUAGCAUAAUCAAGUUUCAAAAAAUUUAAUUUUUCAGAAAAUUUUUUUCAAUUUUUCGGAAAUGUUAAUUUUGUUUUCAAUACACGUAUAAUAUUAUAAUUAAUUUUUCUAGCGGUUUAUGUGUAGUUUAGAAUUACUUCAAUGAUUCAACGUAUACAUUAUUUUUAAAAAAAAAAAAAUCAAAGGAUUUCAAUGAUAUCGAAAUAGUAUUGGGAAACAAUAAGUAACCCGCGCGAUCAUUUACGGUUUAAACUUUCAAUAACCACGCGACAAACGGUCCAACGCGGGGUCACAAUGUCUCUGUAGUAUUAAGUCUCCGCUACAGCCUAACGAACACAUUUAGCAAUUUCACAAUGUCCCGAUUUCUAACUAUUAUCGGUAAAGCUUUGUGUUCGCGUUAACUUAUUUGACAACAAUAACAUAGACUCGUUCUCUCUCUCUCUCUCUCUCUCUCUCUCUCUCUCGUAUUUUUUUCACAGUCGGUUAAUUUAAAACGGCCGAUCGCAUUGUUAGCCCGUGACAAUGGCUGCACUGUUUAUCGUUUGCGUACUUUUGUUUCAAAUAACUUUUUUAUUUUAUUUUUUUUUUUUGUUAACGCUUAAGUCUCCGCGGAACGUUAAACCGUUAACUAAGCUAUAGCUGACAGCAGUAGCGUAUUUAGGACUAUUCUAAGGAGGAAGAUAUUAAAUUUGAAAACAGUGUCGUAUUGUUCAGGCUAAUAAAGAAUGGAUUUUUAAAUGUAUACAUUUUUUUUUAAGAAUUGUACAAUUCCAGUUAUACCUAGAUACAUGAUUAUUAUUAAUUAGUUUACUAUUUAUAGAUACUAUGAUCUAGUCUCCUUCAUAUUUCAGAUGUUUGGAUAUAGAUUUAGUUUUAAACGAGAAAGUGUAUACGUUCAAGUUUUUUUGAUAAAUCUUCGCCGUCGUGACCAAAGUGCAAAAAUAUGGCUAAAUCGUCCCAAUUAUAGUCCUCCUAUAACUGUGAAAAAAACGACCAAGUGAAUAUUCCAAAUUAAAUUAUUCAAAUUAUUAACUGUAUUUGGUGUAGAUCAAAAUGUUUUAUUUUUCCGUAUACAAAGUAAAGAAAUUUGAAUUUGAAAAUAGGUCGCCGUGUAAAUAAUAGAUUCGAGGAGAAAUAUCUCACUGAUCUCUCCCCUCCUCCCCCCCCCCCCNNNNNNNNNNNNNNNNNNNNNNNNNNNNNNNNNNNNNNNNNNNNNNNNNNNNNNNNNNNNNNNNNNNNNNNNNNNNNNNNNNNNNNNNNNNNNNNNNNNNNNNNNNNNNNNNNNNNNNNNNNNNNNNNNNNNNNNNNNNNNNNNNNNNNNNNNNNNNNNNNNNNNNNNNNNNNNNNNNNNNNNNNNNNNNNNNNNNNNNNNNNNNNNNNNNNNNNNNNNNNNNNNNNNNNNNNNNNNNNNNNNNNNNNNNNNNNNNCCCCCCCCCCCCCCCCCCCCGUAAAUACGCUACUGGCCGUUUGUUGAAAUUCAGACGUAACGUUACAGAAAUGCCUGCCGAAUUGUAUCGCGCGUUGUCCGCGGGAACAUUUAAUAUAUUUUAAACCGAUACAAUCGUGUUUUAUUCGUAUUUUUUUGUAUUCGCGCGCGGUUGUUGUGUUACUGAUUACCGACGAGCAUAAUUGAUAUAACGAUAAUGUGUUACCCCAGUGGCGUGAUUCCACUCGAAUAAAUAAUAACCUGAAAUUAAAUACCUGUGUAUUGCGCGCGAUAAUAUUAUUAUAUUGUUAUAACUUCGUUUGCCUAUAGUAAACAAAGAUUCCGGAAAAAAAAAAAAAAAAAAAAAAAAAAACAAAAACUACAUGUGUAUAAUGUAUUAAAGAUUAACGAACCCUGUGCGAUAUUAUACACACAUUGUUAUACGCGAAUUUUUCGAUUAUUCAUCAAAAGAAAAAUAAAAAAAUACACGAGUUAACAAAUAUUUAUCAUCGGUGCUAUAGCUGAAAUAUAAUAUAUACGCGCAUAAUAGGUAUGUAUACGUUCGGCUAAAUAAUAUUAUAUCGUGUACGAUAUCGUAACGAACCGAAAUUUUAUUUACAUUUCAUCACCGCGGUAAUAGUUACGUCUUUUUUUUUUUUUUUUUUUUUACACCGCUGCGGUAUUGCCGCCGUUCAUUAAAUAAUAUAAAAAAAAAAUAAUAAUAAAAAUAAAAAAUAACAAUACCGAAACGUUUAAUCCCGGGGGUUAUUUUUCGUAACACGCCCGCGUACAGAAGCCCUAUGUAAACCGAACGAUGUUAAUAAUACACGCGCGGUAAUACUAUAGGUUAUACCGUCCGGUAUACAACAAUUUAUAUUACACGUGUAAUCCGUCCUGGAAGUUAAAAAAAAAAAUGAAAAGAAUUAUAAUAAUAAAAAAACACCCCGUGUAUUUUUACACGUCGAUUAUUCGCAGCUUUUGUAUCGUAUGCAUAACAUUAUGUACAUAGGUAUACGUGUUAUACACGUGCGUACUUGUCUGCUGCACACGUCAAAAGCGUCGGAUUUUUUUCCAAAAAUUAAUUAAUAAUAAUGAUGUCAUUCCGAGCGAUUAAAAAAAAAAAAAAAGCUGUCCUAGGAUAACGGAGACGGGCGCAGCUACUGUUACUGGUUAUUUUAGUGCUGGUCCACGUACGCAACGAUAAAACCAUUGCUGACGAAAAAACGAUUCUGAGCGGAGUUCGGUUGAUGGUGUUGAUAUUUAUUUAUUUAUUUGUCGCAUUGUAUAUUUUCAUUUAUAAUAUUCGUUUAAUAUUGUAUCUAUUUUCCCGUUUUUCCUAUGGUUUCCCAUUUAAUGGGGAAACUCCUGGGAAAAUCGAAAAAUGACUUCUCAAAGUACCUUCCCUGUCAGAUUUCCUUUUAGAAAAAGUAUACUAUCAUUAUAAAUAGGUGCAAAAUUGCUGGUAGAAAAGUUGUCUAUAGAAAAAAAAAUUAAACAUCAUUGUAAAUCCACAAGUUUCUUUGGUCCACUCAAAGCCAAUGAUUCCGAUAACGGGAGGAGUGUCACUGUUGUGUAGCAUGCACUGAAAUGUACACUUUUUCGUACUGCACGCGUUUCAUAUUAAACCAUACUAAAUCAUAAACGUACUAUCACCGCAAUGGAAUUAUUUCCAUCUUUGAUGGAGGAGGACGAAAGGGACUUUUUGAUCAGCAUAUCAACGAAAAAUUAUCGCUCGCAAAUUAAUCUUAACUAACUUAUUUUUCCUUGAUGUAUCAUCGCACAAGGACAGAUAGUUAAUUUUUUUUCAGUAAUUCUUAUUUAAUUUAUACACUAUAGCUGUAUGCAGUAUAAUGCGAUGCGAUGAUGAACCGUUGCUAGUCCGUAAUAAUAUUCUAUAAAGUGUCCCACGAAGAUAUACCUACUGUAAUACCUUCGGAUAUAAUAAAGAUGAUCAAAUUCUGUUUUUUUUUUUUUUUUUUUUUUUUUUUUUCAUGUAUUAUUCACAAGUAUAAAGACUAAAAGUAUUUAUAUUACAUUUAAUUUCGUACAAUUUGGUAAAAAACUUAAAAAAAAUUAACUUUUUAUUUGAUUAUUUUCGAAAAAUUAGAACAAAGCCAUCGUAUAGAGUUUAUUUUGUUAAAAAUGUUUGACGUAUCAACUUUUAUUUUUAUUAAACACGUGAUUUUAAUAAUUUUUUUUAAGUUCAAAGAAAAAUACCUAUAAUUACGCAGCAAACUGUAAUCGCAUUCGCUAAUUGAUUAUUGUUAUUACGAAUCAUUGACUGUGUAUUUUUUUUUUCUGAACUCUAAAAAAUUAUUAAAAACCACGAAUUCAAUGAAAAAAAAAAGUUGACACGUCAAACAUUUUCAGAAAAAUAAACUCUAUAAAAUGGCUAUAAAUAUCUCUAAGUUUUUCAAAAAUAAUAAAAUAAAAAGUUAUUUUUCUAAGUUUAAUUAUAAAAACAUAAGAAAAUGAAUUACAACAUAAAUAUUUGUAAUCGUUAUCCCUGUGACGAGAAAAAAAAAACAAAGAAAAAAAUUGAUUAUCAUUAUUAUCUAUCUGCAAAGAUGUUACAAUGGGUUUGUAUCUCCGUGGGACACAGCCUAUAAUACGAUAUCUCGCGAAAUUCCCACGCAAAACGGUCGACCUACCCACAGCGAGAAACAUGUCCGGAUUUUUUAUAGUUGUUAUUAAUAUUAUUAUUAUCAUCAUCAUCAUAUAUAGAUACCCGGUUAAUUUUUUUCCAGCUAUCCCCACUCUUUGCGCAACUGUUUCCGCCGUGUAAAUAUUGUUUCUCUACAUUCGUACGGGGGCACGACAAUAUAAUAAUAAUAAUAAUAACGCGAUUUUAAUAUCGUAUAGGCGUUCGACGGACGUUCACAUAGACAGUCAGCAAAAAAAAAAACAAUAAUAAUAAAUGAAAAUAUAAUUUUCGAGACGACCAACAGAGUAUUGGACACGAAUCGAUGUUGUCAUUUCCUGUAGUCUAACCCGCGACCAUUGUCCGCGUAUAUAAUAAUAUGUAGGCUCGCCGUAUUGACUGAUACCGCCGAAGAGAAAAUUAAUUUUAUUAAUAUUUUUUUUUUUUUUUUUUUUUUUUUAAUACAUAUAUAUAUAUAUAUAUAUAUAUAUUAUAAUAUUAUACAAUAAUAAAAAUAUGUAACGUUAAACCGGUGCGCAUAUAUAACGCCCAUAAUGCAACUUUAUAACCGGAUAAACGAUUCGUCAGCAAACCUAUACAAAAUGUCUGGGGUUUGGUUAUUUUUUUUUUUUUUACGAUUAUGAUUAUUAUUAUUAUUUUUUUACGAAAUCAGUGACAUUAAAAAAAAAAAAUAAAGUAAAAAAUGUAUUCCUUCUGGCAGUAGUGAUGAUACGACGGUGGACAUUGAAAACGAUAUUUUUUAAAUGUAAAAUUAUACCAUUUCGUACACAUCUGUACCUUUUUUUUUUUUUUUAAAGGAACCUGACUCGAUGAGACGCAUUAGAAGGGCGAGAAUGAUGAAGCGAGAAGACGUGGUCGAGAUAUAUGUGCAAGAGCUAGGAGGAGUAUUCCAUUGGAAAGCACGAGACAUAGACGUCUGCAUGCAGGAGUUUUGGAUGCACGACGACGGGGCGGUCUUAAAGAUCGCUUUUGUAGUCCGCGAAGAGAAAGAAAGAAGAAUUUGAGCAUUUUUCUUAGAGGGUAGACGUGACCUUCAUAUCCUCUCUUAGAAAAUCCGCAGUUUAGUUUCCUUUGCCACACACACACACACACACACACAUAGACUGUUUUACAUUUAAUUAUCUCUAUUUCGAGAGAUCGCACGGGUGUUACCGCUGAGUUAUAAUUUAUAAAUAGGUUUGUUCAUAAUAUGCUCAAUGCUCAUUUGAGCACGACGUACAAACGCGCAUAUGCUUUUGUCUGUCUGUAAACAACUUUUCGAAAAGGAAUCUUGCUCCAGUGUAUUUAUGAGAAGUGUAACCCGUUUUCUGAAAUGAAAUUUUCUCUAAUUAUUGCAUUUAAAUGGUCGUUUUUUGAUUUUCUAAAGGGUUUUUCAAAAUAAAUGGGGAAAAUCCGCAAGAAAAUUAUAGGUUCAACGGUGAAUAUUUACGGCGCGCCACGACGUCACCGAUUUCAUUGUUUUUGAUUUUUGAAAAUCAAAUUAAAUUGAUUAAUAUUUACGGCAACUUGGAGUAAACCAAAAAAUACGAAAAAUACGAUUUUUUCAAACUAUGGCGCAAAGAUUUCAUUAUUUAAAAUUCUACUAAGAUUAUAUUUGUCUACCAGAAAUCUUUGUCCGAAUUUCAUGAAUAACACAUUAUCCGGAGGAAAAUUAUGUGAUGCUUGUGAGUUAAAAAUCGUUGUUUAAUUUUCAUAUAAUUUUCUUAAUAAUUACGAAGAACGGGGAAAAAACGUAGGAAAUACGAUCAUAUUUACGGCACUUGGAUUUUUUGUUGUUAUUCGGUUAAAAAUUAUUAUUAACAAGCCAUGUAAUUUUCACAAAAUACUUAUAUUGACUUUUGUAGACGUAGUAAAAUGUUCGAAACUAUUUUUAAACUAUUUACAGGUAUUUUAAAUUUUCAUGUUUUUAUAAUAUAUGUAUUUUUAUUUGGUAGGUAUCUGUUAUUGGCAUUAUUUAAUUUAAGUGAAAUGCUUGAAAAUUUAACAAAAGGUACAUUAUGAGUUAUAAUUAGUGGUUUAAAAAAACAAAUUUGAGUUUAAUACGUUAGUUAUUUUCAUAAGCGGUUUAAGAUUAAAUUUCCAUGAAAAUCAUACAAAUUACGACAUUUCAAAAUAUGUCUUAUCGAACUUCACUUCGAAUCAUUUUUCGUUAGCGUUAGUCUUUGGGUAUAGAUAAAAAUGAAAUAGCGUUAUAAAUCUUACCUUGUAAAUUUCCCAUCUAUAACUGUGGCUGCUCCUGUCCCCAGAAUCAGCUCAUUUUUUUCGGUUUUUCCCGAUUAUUAUUAAAACCA
rnacentral:lncRNA from 1 species